rnacentral:snRNA from 1 species
GGAUGUGAGGACAAUCUGCCUGCGACUUCUGUCACCCCAGACAGAAACCAGGGUUGAUUCAGCUGAUCUGACUGGCUAGGCAGGUGUCCCCUUCCUUUCCUCCCUCAAUGCUCCACGUACAUCCCUCCAGAAGCCACACAGUUUGUCAAAGAGAGAGGAGGACUGGUCUUCGGUCAAGUGUAUAGGAAUAGCUGUACUCCCCUGAUAGAACCUGGAAUCUCCAAAUAAGCUCUCAAAAAAAAAAAAAAGAAAAAAGAAAAAAAAGGCUAGGCAUGGUGGUGUCCCCCUUU